rnacentral:rRNA from 1 species
UACGAAGGGGGCUAGCGUUGCUCGGAAUCACUGGGCGUAAAGGGUGCGUAGGCGGGUCUUUAAGUCAGGGGUGAAAUCCUGGAGCUCAACUGUAGAACCGCCAUUGAUACUGAAAGACUUGAGUACAGACGAGGUAGGCGGAAUUUAUGGUGUAGCGGUGAAAUGCAUAGAUACCAUAAAGAACACCUAUUGCGAAGGCAGCUUACUAGGCUGUAACUGACGCUGAGGCACGAAAGCGUGGGGAUCAAACAGG